rnacentral:lncRNA from 1 species
ACAUUGAGGUCCCUGUGCCAGGGGUGGGGCUAGCAGGAUCCUGGCUAUUGGCUGAGGGGUGUUCUAGGCUGUCCAUUCCGAAGCAUCCUCACUUGCCUUCCCAUGGCCUGGCCUCUCACUGUGGAUUCAUUGGUGACAAAACAGAGGAAUGGGGUCCAAGUGUUGAGUACGCCUACUUCAGGAGAUGGGACUGGACUCUGCCGAUCUGAGAUGACCCCUCCCAACACUGUUCUAUCCCUGUCCAGGCUGGCAAUGUAGACAUCUUCAGUCCUUGAAAUAGGACUCUCCAUCCUACCUCAGCCUUCCUCUUUCCAGAUUGCUGUAGGCCCCUGGGUUCUGGCACUAAUAGGCUCAUCCAGGAUCUACAGCAUUCAGAUGGUCAUAGACGGCUCCACCUCUUCCUCUUCACUUCU